AUGCCUAUUUGAGUCCAUACAAGCUUUUCUUAAUCUACAUACAAGAUGCUCUUUGUCUGUACCUAUGAAUCCCUCCAGUUAUUCCAUGUAAAUUUUGUAAUAGCCAAUCCUUGAAGCCCUUCGACCAGCCUGAGAUAAUUGGGCCCAUCCUCAAUUGAAAUCACGUUCUUGGCACAUGAGAGGGGGGGAGGAAAAAGAUUCUGAUUGAGAGUCUUCUCCUAUCCCAAUUUCCAUUGAUGACUGGAUUUUAGCCUACCUAAUUUUGAAUAAAACAACCCUAGAUCUUACCUACAAAUAUUGAUCCUCUCUUCCUUGGAUUUCCACCACAAUUUUUUUGGGAAAUCACUGCCUAUUUUAAGCUCUUAUCUGAUUUCUCUCCUUGGGAUUUCAUUGAAGAAAUCACUGAUUUGCCUUGUUUAGCCUCGUCAGACCAAGAUAAAGUAUUUAAGCCUUUAUUUGUCUUCUUUUUCUGAGGUUUAUUGCUGCUAAUUAGAGCCAGUGAACCACCAUGAUUUUGGGCAAGAAUAGGGCCUUCCCUGUUUCAAGCCUUCUUCCUUUAUUUCGUUAGCCAUCGUUGGUUGUGGCCACUGAUGGGGUCAUCUCUUUGGUUGGCAUCGGAGACUACCAUCAGCCACCGACCUAUGCUCCAUGACCAUGGCUGAUUGAAGAGGGGAGGGGAAAGGGUUUGGAUAUCCUAUUUUGAAGAACAUAAAGAAGAAGAGAGAGAAAAGGCUACCUAUCUUCUUUCUCUCUCUCUUCUCUUUUAUUUUAAUUUCCAUCUCCUCUCUCUCACUAACUAGGUUGACAAAAAUUUAUGAAAAAAAAAAGAGGAAGGAGAAAUCUUCAAGGGACUUGGAGUGGACCCCUUGUGGGUUAUAGAAGGUUUAAAUCAAAUAAUUUACACUUUAUUUUUUUUAUUAUUAAUAUUGAGAUUGAUUCUGUAGGGGAAUAAUUUUUUGGACAAGAGAUCUUCGAGCAAGUUCGUCAUCAUCUAGUUCCUAAACUGAGCUGUGGAUUGAUAUUUAGGAUGUUAAAUUCAUUGUCAGUAAAGAUAAGGAUCACUAGAUAUGAUCAUUAGUAUAUUGUGUUUAUUUAUG
rnacentral:lncRNA from 1 species